rnacentral:ribozyme from 1 species
AAUAAAAAAUUACAUGAAGGCGAAUGAGAUACUGUCGUUUUUUUUCACCAACUUUUUUUUUCAAGUUUCUUUUUCGACGUUUUUUUUUCUCGUGUUUGGACGAUGUCUCAAACAAUGAGGUCUGUCGAUGCUGCGGCGCUCAUGGCUUGGGUAAAAAGGUGACAGUUGAC